rnacentral:rRNA from 1 species
CCUACGGGUGGCAGCAGUGAGGAAUAUUGGUCAAUGGACGCAAGUCUGAACCAGCCAUGUCGCGUGCAGGAUGACUGCUCUAUGAGUUGUAAACUUCUUUUGUACGAGGGUAAACGCAGAUACGCGUAUCUUUUUGCAAGUAUCGUAUGAAUAAGGAUCGGCUAACUCCGUGCCAGCAGCCGCGGUAAUACGGAGGAUUCAAGCGUUAUCCGGAUUUAUUGGGUUUAAAGGGAGCGUAGGCGGGCGGAUAAGUUAGUGGUGAAAUCCUGGGGCUCAACUUCGGAAUUGCAUUUGAUACUGGUCGUCUAGAGAGUAGUUGAGGUAGGCGGAAUGUAUGGUGUAGCGGUGAAAUGCUUAGAGAUCAUACAGAACACCGAUUGCGAAGGCAGCUUACCAAGCUACUUCUGACGUUGAGGCACGAAAGCGUGGGGAUCAAACAGGAUUAGAUACCCUAGUAGUC